GUUGUGGUUAAAAAGCUCGUAGUUGGAUCUCAACAGCCUUGAAGCGGUUAACUUUGUAGUUUUACUGCUUUAUAGGCUGUGCUUUUGCUGGAGGUUUAGGGGUGCUCUUGAUCGAGUGUCUCUGGAUGCCAGCAGGUUUACUUUGAAAAAAUUAGAGUGCUCAAAGCAGGCUAAAAUGCCUGAAUAUUCGUGCAUGGAAUAAUAGAAUAGGAUGUCGAUCCUAUUUUGUUGGUUUUCGGGACUCGACAUAAUGAUAAAUAGGGACAGUCGGGGGCAUUUGUAUUCAAACGACAGAGGUGAAAUUCUUGGACCGUUUGAAGACAAACUACUGCGAAAGCAUUUGCCAAGAAUGUUUUCAUUAAUCAAGAACGAAAGUUAGAGGUUCGAAGGCGAUUAGAUACCGCCCUAGUUCUAACCAUAAACGAUGCCAGCUAAGCGAUCUGCCUGCGUUUUUACUGUA
rnacentral:rRNA from 1 species